CAUGCAGUCGACGGUGAUCAGGAGCUUGCUCCUGUGAUCAGUGGCGAACGGGUGAGUAACACGUGAGCAAUCUGCCCUUGACUCUGGGAUAAGCGUUGGAAACGACGUCUAAUACCGGAUACGACAACCGACGGCAUCGUCUGGUUGUGGAAAGAAUUUUGGUCAGGGAUGAGCUCGCGGCCUAUCAGCUUGUUGGUGAGGUAAUGGCUCACCAAGGCGACGACGGGUAGCCGGCCUGAGAGGGUGACCGGCCACACUGGGACUGAGACACGGCCCAGACUCCUACGGGAGGCAGCAGUGGGGAAUAUUGCACAAUGGGCGAAAGCCUGAUGCAGCAACGCCGCGUGAGGGACGACGGCCUUCGGGUUGUAAACCUCUUUUAGUAGGGAAGAAGCGAAAGUGACGGUACCUGCAGAAAAAGCACCGGCUAACUACGUGCCAGCAGCCGCGGUAAUACGUAGGGUGCAAGCGUUGUCCGGAAUUAUUGGGCGUAAAGAGCUCGUAGGCGGUUUGUCGCGUCUGCUGUGAAAUCCCGAGGCUCAACCUCGGGUCUGCAGUGGGUACGGGCAGACUAGAGUGCGGUAGGGGAGAUUGGAAUUCCUGGUGUAGCGGUGGAAUGCGCAGAUAUCAGGAGGAACACCAAUGGCGAAGGCAGAUCUCUGGGCCGUAACUGACGCUGAGGAGCGAAAGCAUGGGGAGCGAACAGGAUUUAGAUACCCUGGUAGUCCAUGCCGUAAACGUUGGGAACUAGAUGUGGGGACCAUUCCACGGUCUCCGUGUCGCAGCUAACGCAUUAAGUUCCCCGCCUGGGGAGUACGGCCGCAAGGCUAAAACUCAAAGGAAUUGACGGGGGCCCGCACAAGCGGCGGAGCAUGCGGAUUAAUUCGAUGCAACGCGAAGAACCUUACCAAGGCUUGACAUAUACGAGAACGCCGCAGAAAUGUGGAACUCUUUGGACACUCGUAUACAGGUGGUGCAUGGUUGUCGUCAGCUCGUGUCGUGAGAUGUUGGGUUAAGUCCCGCAACGAGCGCAACCCUCGUCCUAUGUUGCCAGCACGUAAUGGUGGGAACUCAUGGGAUACUGCCGGGGUCAACUCGGAGGAAGGUGGGGAUGACGUCAAAUCAUCAUGCCCCUUAUGUCUUGGGCUUCACGCAUGCUACAAUGGCCGGUACAAAGGGCUGCAAUACCGUAAGGUGGAGCGAAUCCCAAAAAGCCGGUCUCAGUUCGGAUUGAGGUCUGCAACUCGACCUCAUGAAGUCGGAGUCGCUAGUAAUCGCAGAUCAGCAACGCUGCGGUGAAUACGUUCCCGGGCCUUGUACACACCGCCCGUCAAGUCAUGAAAGUCGGUAACACCCGAAGCCAGUGGCCUAACCGCAAGGAAGGAGC
rnacentral:rRNA from 1 species